rnacentral:lncRNA from 1 species
AUGAUCUCAUUGAUCUAUAUUGAUAUUUUCUGUCCAGAGUUGCUGUCCUUCGUCCUAUUCAUGCUCAUGCUAUGUGCGUCUGUCAUAGCUCUUAGUUUUUGGAACAAUAUGAUGUGCAGACGAAAUAACCCCAGAGAGGGCUAUGAGAGGAGCGGACUUGCUGAGGAGAGGGAGUCGUUAAUCAAAGUGGCUCCAUCUACCAGUGAAACCUUGAACCUAGAUUCGAGUUCCAAUACUUUCCAAUUGGAUCCCUCCGAAUUAACUGUUGAAACUCGUCCCUUGGAUCUAGGAUCCGCCUACGAUGUAUCGAACUCUCUGCAACCGCGGUGAUGUUCCAUGGAGGAAGGGAAUUUCCAAGACUGAAUACAAAUGCAUUUUCCCUCUCAGGUAAUUAUCUCGCAAUAUACAUACAUUAAGCUGCUUUCACAGCGCAGCCUCGCGCUCUACGACGUCCAAACGCCAUUACCCCUUAUCCUCCAGGGAACGUCCGGCAAUUGGCACGUCCUUAUCUCCUCCUCCACUUUUUGUCGCCAACCUUCCACAGGACGUCCAAUGACAAUCUCAAAAUAUUUCUGUGUAGAUAAUAAGAAUGGGGAGGAUAAAGAUUGAUGGCCAAAAUGCGAAACCGCGUAUAUCUGUUUGAGACGUUGUAGACUUCUAUAGUCGUAGUUUAUAUUUUCAUCGGAUAACUCUUAAAAAUCUCCUUGAUUUUUCUUCUCUUGUGGCAGAGUAUUCUGUGUAAAUUUUAAGCUAAAAAGUUAGCUCGAUUUGCGUUGAAAAAAUGAAAUAGGAGCGAAAACGAGACAUCGCAAUGAAGAUACGUGAUAUCGUAGUUGGCCAUCGAUAUUUUUCUAUUUUUAACUGUACUCAUAUUUUUUGACAGUAUAAUUGGACGUCAAAAUGUAUCGUAACAGUUUUUGCUCUGGCUCUUAAAUUUUACGGAAUUUACUAUAAAAUACCUACGCCUUUCUAGAGUACCUUUUCAAAACGUUGUGCGAACUUUUUUUGCAGUGAAAUCUUGAGGCUUAUUUCUAGCAACCAAGG